UACGUAGGGGCAAGCGUUGUCCGGAUUUAUUGGGCGUAAAGAGCGUGUAGGCGGUUUGGUAGGUCCGUUGUGAAACCUCGAGGCUCAACCUCGAGACGCCGAUGGAACCAUCAGACUAGAGUCCGGAAGAGGAGAGUGGAAUUCCUGGUGUAGCGGUGAAAUGCGCAGAUAUCAGGAAGAACACCCGUGGCUAAGGCGGCUCUCUAGUACGGUACUGACGCUGAGACGCGAAGCGUGGGAGCGAACAGG
rnacentral:rRNA from 1 species